rnacentral:rRNA from 1 species
UACAGAGGGUGCAAGCGUUAAUCGGAAUUACUGGGCGUAAAGCGUGUGUAGGCGGACUUCUAAGUACCUUGUGAAAUCCCACGGCUCACCCGUGGAACUGCUUGGUAUACUGGUUGUCUUGAGCCUUCUAGGGGCGAGUGGAACAAAUGGUGGAGCGGUGAAAUGCGUAGAUAUCAUUUGGAACGCCAAUGGUGAAAACAACUCGCUGGGGAAGUGCUGACGCUGAGACACGAAAGCCAGGGGAGCGAACGGG